UGGGGAAUAUUGCACAAUGGGCGCAAGCCUGAUGCAGCCAUGCCGCGUGUGUGAAGAAGGCCUUCGGGUUGUAAAGCACUUUCAGCGAGGAGGAAGGUGGUGAGCUUAAUACGCUCAUCAAUUGACGUUACUCGCAGAAGAAGCACCGGCUAACUCCGUGCCAGCAGCCGCGGUAAUACGGAGGGUGCAAGCGUUAAUCGGAAUUACUGGGCGUAAAGCGCACGCAGGCGGUUUGUUAAGUCAGAUGUGAAAUCCCCGGGCUCAACCUGGGAACUGCAUUUGAAACUGGCAAGCUAGAGUCUCGUAGAGGGGGGUAGAAUUCCAGGUGUAGCGGUGAAAUGCGUAGAGAUCUGGAGGAAUACCGGUGGCGAAGGCGGCCCCCCUGGACGAAGACUGACGCUCAGGUGCGAAAGCGUGGGGCAGCAAACAGGAUUAGAUACCCUGGUAGUCCACGCUGUAAACGAUGUCGAUUUUGGAGGUUGUGCCCCUUGAGGCGUGGCUUCCGGAGCUAACGCGUUAAAUCGACCGCC
rnacentral:rRNA from 1 species